UAACACUUCCUUUACACCGAAGAGUUACCUGUGCAAACCAGGUUAUUCUGA
rnacentral:tRNA from 1 species